AUUGAACGCUGGCGGCAGGCCUAACACAUGCAAGUCGAACGAGUGGCGGACGGGUGAGUAAUGUCUGGGAAACUGCCUGAUGGAGGGGGAUAACUACUGGAAACGGUAGCUAAUACCGCAUACCAUCAGAUGUGCCCAGAUGGGAUUAGCUUGUUGGUGGGGUAACGGCUCACCAAGGCGACGAUCCCUAGCUGGUCUGAGAGGAUGACCAGCCACAUGGGAACUGAGACACGGUACAGAUUCUUAAGGGAGGAAGCAGUGGGGAAGAGUGGACAAUGGGCGCAAGCCUGAUGCAGCAAGGCUGCGGGUAGGAAGAAGGCCUUCGGGUUGUAAAGUACUUUCAGCGGGGAGGCGUUACCCGCAGAAGAAGCACCGGCUAACUCCGUGCCAGCAGCCGCGGUAAUUC
rnacentral:rRNA from 1 species